rnacentral:tRNA from 1 species
UGGGACGUCGCCAAGCGGUAAGGCACCGGGUUUUGAUCCCGGCAUUCCCAGGUUCGAAUCCUGGCGUCCCAGCCA